UUAAAAGCAGUAUUGGAAUAUUUCAACUUUGGAAGUUGGGGGCUAGUUUAUCUACUUUUAAA
rnacentral:tRNA from 1 species